UCAUCGGCCUCAGAUUGGUAGGACUACCCGCUG
rnacentral:rRNA from 2 species